UCGAGAAUCUUCGGCAAUGGGCGCAAGCCUGACCGAGCGACGCCGCGUGGAGGACGAAGGCCCUCGGGUUGUAAACUCCUGUCGAGGGGGAACAAGGCGGCGCGAAGAGCGUCGCUUGAGUGAUCCCUGGAGGAAGCACGGGCUAAGUUCGUACCAGCAGCCGCGGUAAGACGAACCGUGCGAACGUUAUUCGGAAUCACUGGGCUUAAAGCGCGUGUAGGCGGCCCGGCACGUCCGUCGCUGAAAUCCCCCGGCUCAACCGGGGAAGGGGCGGGGAUACGGCCGGGCUGGAGGGGGGUAGGGGGCGCCGGAACUCACGGUGGAGCGGUGAAAUGCGUUGAGAUCGUGAGGAACGCCCGUGGCGAAAGCGGGCGCCUGGACCCCACCUGACGCUGAGACGCGAAAGCCAGGGGAGCGAACGG
rnacentral:rRNA from 1 species